GAUUUUGUACUUUCAAUCCUGUAACAUUCUUUGAUUUCACUUUCUCUUCACAUCCAAACAAAGCAUUAGAAUAGGUCGGUCACAAAAGAAGAAAAAUAUACAUAUUCCGAUUUUUUUAAAGAAACUAUGUUAAGUCAGAAUUUUGCUCUCCUAUCUUCUCCAUCCUUGUUGUGUUAAUUCAACUUCGCUGGUUCUCAUAUCUCUCUCUCUCUCUCUCUCCGUAGUUAAUAGCAACCUAACACAGAGGUUUCAUGUUGGAUUUUGACCCGAGAACGACAAACUGCUGUCAUCAGGUCCCAAUAUGUCCAAGUAUUAUUAAAUCAGGAUAUGACAAUAGUUGCUUAGAAAUUGAACUCUCUGUAACUACAUGUUCAGCCUCCUCAAAGUGAUCUCUCUUUUCACUCUUAUUGUCUUGGUGUCUCCUCUUUACAGUAGGAUCUGUAUACAUCAAAUCAAAGGAAGCUCUUGCUAAGGAUGUUUUUAGGAUAUUGUGGAGAUGUGUUGUGGCAUUCAAAACCCUGCUCCUGCUAAACAUUACUUUCAUAUGAUUUCUGCAAUUGUUAGGAUACUUCCUUUUCUAUUCAAUUAUUACUCAUUUUGAUAUCCAGAUAUGCAUUGCGGUUUGAUUUUCAUGGAGCAUUCGUGACGAUCUUCAAAAACUCUCGCGAUUCUUCACUGAGAGUUUUCAAAUUGAUUUCAGAUUCAAUUGAUUGUGGUAUUUGAUGAUUUUCUGUUUCAGACAAAGACACUGCGAAUCGCAAGACGAUAUGGCUUGGAGACUCAAUGGUUGCAUCUGUAUUGGAAUCUACAUCUUAGGGUUCACAAUAUCAAUAAUCCUUUCUCAAUAUGUAUUGUGUUUAAGGUUUGGAUUGAUAGUGUUGAUGUAUUGGAAAAUGUCGCUUAUGCAGAGUGUAUAACGUUGAUCCGCCAUUGCAUCUUUUGCUUGAAGCAACUUCAGUGAUGGUGGAAAUAAGGUGUGAUUCUGCUGGUUCCUUUUCCUCAGCAAUGUUGAGCAAUGAUAUAGUAUAUUUACUGCCUUGUAACUUAUUGAUCUACAAAAUUCCCAGAGUAAGUUUCUUUUAUGAUGGUUACAUGAAUUGUGAUAAUGCAAGUGAGUGGACCUUGUACAUUUGUUGUGAGCCAUCAAUUAUUUUCUCUUACACUUGUAUGCUGUUCUAAAGUGUAUUUUAGAUAUUUGAUAAAUUGCUAAUAUUGAAUGAAGUUGAUGAAGGACCAUUAGGCCUUUUGGCUUCAUGGGGAUAGGCUAUUAACUUGGUAAUUGCUAAUAGUGUAGGUAGUAUGAACCUUAAGCAAAGCUCUUAAUUUUAUUCAUAGAUUUGGUAUCUUUGA